rnacentral:tRNA from 1 species
GCCGGCGUGUCGGAAUUGGCAGACGAGGCAGACUCAAAAUCUGUUGGCAGCAAUGUCGUGUGGGUUCAAGUCCCACCGCCGGCA